GACGAACGCUGGCGGCGUGCUUAACACAUGCAAGUCGAACGGAAAGGCCCUGCUUUUGUGGGGUGCUCGAGUGGCGAACGGGUGAGUAACACGUGAGUAACCUGCCCUUGACUUUGGGAUAACUUCAGGAAACUGGGGCUAAUACCGGAUAGGAGCUCCUGCUGCAUGGUGGGGGUUGGAAAGUUUCGGCGGUUGGGGAUGGACUCGCGGCUUAUCAGCUUGUUGGUGGGGUAGUGGCGUACCAAGGCUUUGACGGGUAGCCGGCCUGAGAGGGUGACCGGCCACAUUGGGCCUGAGAUACGGCCCAGACUCCUACGGGAGGCAGCAGUGGGGAAUAUUGCACAAUGGGCGGAAGCCUGAUGCAGCAACGCCGCGUGCGGGAUGACGGCCUUCGGGUUGUAAACCGCUUUCGCCUGUGACGAAGCGUGAGUGACGGUAAUGGGUAAAGAAGCACCGGCUAACUACGUG
rnacentral:rRNA from 1 species